CAGCCCUAAACGAUGCGCGUUAGGUGUAUCGGUGACCACGAGUCACCGAGGUGCCGAAGGGAAACCGUGAAACGUGCCGCCUGGGAAGUACGGUCGCAAGGUUGAAACUUAAAGGAAUUGGCGGGGGAGCACCACAACGGGUGGAGCCUGCGGUUUAAUUGGACUCAACGCCGGGAAGCUCACCGGAUAAGACAGCGGAAUGAUUGCCGGGCUGAAGACCCUGCAUGACCAGCUGAGAGGAGGUGCAUGGCGUAGUCGUGU
rnacentral:rRNA from 1 species